GUUGGUUGUGUCAGAUGGUGCACUGCUGGGGCAGACGCGUGAAGGAGUGUUUUCCUGAAGCAGACACAGAAGCACAGCAGAAAGCUUCUCCUGGCGGCCCUGCUGGCUCUCGUCACUCUGCUGACUUGGGCCAAUUUGGCUGAGGCCUGGCAGUUUCUGCUGACUCGUGUUUGCUACCCUGACUCUACUGAACUGGACUGGUGGGAUAUCCUGACAACACAGAUCGAAUUUGCUCCAAAGAACAAUUUCUAAACAGGUCCACUUCCCCCAUGUCCUAAUAACCAUCCUUUUCCACUGCCUCUGUGGGUGGUGGGCUGGAAGGAGGUUAAAGUAUUUAAGCUGUUACAUGGAGCAGUCUUCUUCUUUUUUUUUUUUUUUUUAAAGAUUUAUUCAUUUAUUAAAUACAAGUACACUGUAGCUGUCUUCAGAUACGCCAGAAGAGGGCAUCAGAUCUCAUUACAGAUGGUUGUGAGCCACCAUGUGGUUGCUGGGAAUUGAACUCAGGACCUCUGGAAGAGCAGUCGGGUGCUCUUAACCGCUGAGACAUCUCUCCAGCCCAUGGAGCAGUCUUUUGCCAGCCAUUGCUUGAUUUUAAACCUCUCUCAUCUCAGUCUAACCCAGACCAUGGAGACUAGCAAUGGAGAACAGCCCAGAUGAGCUAACCAUGUCUCGUUCAUUGACAAUACUUGGGGUGUUGUUGUUCUUGUUUGAGACAGGGUCUCACUAUAUAGAAAAUACAAAAAUCUGUCUCCCUGUGUCUGCUCCUUGAUUGCUGAAAUUAAAGGCAUGCACCACCAUGUCCAACAAUA